AACUCUCUUAGUUCAUUUUAUACACAUUUAUUCCAGUUAGUUAGGCUGUACAGUGGCAUUUCCUUCCAUGCCUGUCAAAAGCCUUGAAUCUGUGCACAGAAUAUCCUGAUACAAAGGAAGAGAGGACUCUCCUGCUUUUAAGAGCUUAGCAGAAUAGAGAGUUCUAGUUGCUUAAGUCCACCUCAUGUUUUUCUCUCCAUCUUGCCUGUUAGCCCAAAUUUCUUGGAGGAAGGGUAGGAUGCCACUGAGAUGAUGACGGUGUUGCUUGGAAGAAUGUACCAGGAAGAGGAAGAUAACCAAUGUGAGGAGGAGUAUGGAAGCUGAGCCUUGAGAGGAAUGAAUGAGGGGGUUUCAAAUAUCUAUCCUGGAGGGAAACAGAACUGAGAUAUCUUCAGAUAGCUGAAUGGCUGUCAUACAGAAGGAGCAAGCUUGUUUUCAGUAACUCCAGAUGGCACAGCCUGAAUCAAUGGAUUCAAAGCACAAGGAAAAAAGAAUUGAUUAUACAUUGAGAUUAACACUCUGCGGGUGAAGGCUACUUAGCCGUGGAAUGGGCUGCCUCAGAGUGUGGUGAGCUUGCCUUCAUUUGAAGAUUUUAGAAAGAAGGUGGAUAGCCAUCUGGCAGACAGGUUUUUAAUGUCCUGCUUUAGUAGGGGGUAGGACUUCACUUGAUGACUCUUGGGAUCCCUUCAGAUUCUGCAGUUUUUUGAUUCUAGGAGCACAUAGCAAAGAUCAAUUCACACAGGUUCCUACUAGGCUUGGAAAAAAAACAGCGCCUCCACAUCGACUUACAACUUACGGCUUUCCAAGGUGCUUUCAGUCCAAGCUGUUACUGUGCAAUCACACUUCUCUGUUGGUGGAAGUUCAUGGGAGGUGCAGGACAUGCAGGCAUCCAUAAAGAUGGCAGGGUGAUGAGGAGAAGUGUAGUACAAAGAGAAAUAAACACACUCUUAUCUUUUUGGCUACCUCACAAUGAUAAGGGAAGAUGAAAAACCACCACCAGAGGAAACUCAAAAGGAACUGUAAGGAACCCUGAAUGAGGAUGAAAAAUAGAAACCUGUUUUGUCAGAAAAGAAAACUCACGGGAAGCCAAGGGACAGAUUUCAGCACAGCAGUAGCUGCAAGUGAUGGCACUGAAUAAAACCAAAUAAAAGUAUGUGACA
rnacentral:lncRNA from 1 species